rnacentral:lncRNA from 1 species
UCUAACCUGAGAACCUAUUACCACCACCCAGUGUCCUCAGAAGUCAUGAUAGUCACCAUGAUGCAGCUAGAGUUAUAAGGACCAGAGUUUGACUCCCAGCCUUUGAAAACGAUGUUCCUUGGGGGUAGGAGCAUGCUCUCACCCUUGUCUUCUAUCUCUCUCAUCCUUUAAGACUCAGUUCAGAACUUGACUCUUCAGGCGGAGGCUUCUCUGAGUCCUGAAGCUGGCUGCCUCACUCACAGCUUUCUCUGCAACGGGUGCCUCCACAAUUGUGAUAGAGAAUGACAUGCCCCAGCAUAAUGCCUCAACCCAAGUGUCAACCUACCCUUGACAGAGAAGAGAACCCCAAAUGAAUCUCCCAAGCAACACAAGCUGACCCAACACAGCAAAGCGAGUCACCUUUGAAGAGAAAGAAUGACGCUUAUUUUCUCCUCCAAAGACCUACUUGGAAAGUAGACGUGGUUUACUGCAAAUCUCUCCC